AGCAGCCGCGGUAAUUCCAGCUCCAAUAGCGUAUAUUAAAGUUGUUGCAGUUAAAAAGCUCGUAGUUGAACUUCGGGGUUUACCCAUUGGUCAGGCUUAAUUGUCUGUACUGGUGAGAUAAAUCUCUACCUUCUGAGGAACUUUCAUGCCAUUUAUUUGGUGUGAUGGGAAAUCAGGACUGUUACUUUGAAAAAAUUAGAGUGUUUAAAGCAGGCUAACGUCUGAAUACAUUAGCAUGGAAUAAUGAAAUAGGACGGACUGAUUCUAUUUCGUUGGUUUCUAGGAUCACCGUAAUGAUUAAUAGGGAUAGUUGGGGGCAUUAGUAUUCAAUUGUCAGAGGUGAAAUUCUUGGAUUUAUUGAAGACUAACUACUGCGAAAGCAUUUGCCAAGGAUGUUUUCAUUAAUCAAGAACGAAAGUUAGGGGAUCGAAGACGAUCAGAUACCGUCGUAGUCUUAACCAUAAACUAUGCCGACUAGGGAUCGGACGAAGUUAAUUUUAUAAUGACGCGUUCGGCACCU
rnacentral:rRNA from 1 species